UGGCAUUAUACCAACGUGGGAGGGAUCUCCUUAAGUCAUUCUUACUUCUGGUACUCUCAGAGCAGAGACCACUGACCACAAUCUGGCCCAUCAAGUGGUCCGAAGCGUGGCACAGAGUAUUGAGCCUUUGUGACAUCUUCCGUUAGUUGUGACAUCUGGAGCUCUCCCAUUGAACUCGAAGGCACACAGAACAUUGAAAAGAAUGAUAAUGAGAGAGACAACUACGAAUGGCUGUCGAGUCACAGAAGAAGUCAUGUGGAGUCAUGCUGAGGAGAAAUUCGAUGGACAUCAUAGGACACCCCCCCCAAAUGCCCAAGAUUGCUGGCAUCCCUAUCUCUGAAAGUAGAAGGAUGCAAAUGAACUAAAAAUUUAAAAAAAUGAUUGAAGUCUUAAGGUGGAGUAAGACUCACAUAUUCCUACCUCCUCCCACAUGUACAUCUUGUAAAUGAGCAAUGACAUCUCUACUGUGACAGAAGACAGAAUUUUUAUCUUUUGGAGAAAAAAAAUUAAAAGAUGUCAUAUUAAGGGAGAUGGUACCAUUCCAAAAACCAGAUGAUUAAAUGAAAGUUCCAAGAUGUGUAAAGAAUUUGAGUCCCCCCCAGUAACUGAUCCCAAGAUAAGGCAUUCACAUUAGUUUCUGUGAGGAAACUUCUAAGGAAAUCAUGUAUAAGUAAAGACCACAGAAUAAAGCUCCUCUUAUACACCCA
ensembl:lncRNA